rnacentral:rRNA from 1 species
AUUGAACGCUGGCGGCAUGCCUUACACAUGCGAGUCGAACGGCAGCACGGGAGUAAUCCUGGUGGCGAGUGGCGAACGGGUGAGUAAAGCAUCGGAACGUGCCCAGUCGUGGGGGAUAACGUAGCGAAAGCUACGCUAAUACCGCAUACGAUCUGUGGAUGAAAGCGGGGGACCGUAAGGCCUCGCGCGAUUGGAGCGGCCGAUGUCAGAUUAGGUAGUUGGUGAGGUAAAGGCUCACCAAGCCGACGAUCUGUAGCUGGUCUGAGAGGACGACCAGCCACACUGGGACUGAGACACGGCCCAGACUCCUACGGGAGGCAGCAGUGGGGAAUUUUGGACAAUGGGCGCAAGCCUGAUCCAGCAAUGCCGCGUGCAGGAUGAAGGCCUUCGGGUUGUAAACUGCUUUUGUACGGAGCGAAAAGGCUUCCACUAAUACUGGGGGCUCAUGACGGUACCGUAAGAAUAAGCACCGGCUAACUACGUG